rfam:Populus trichocarpa isolate Nisqually-1 chromosome 4, whole genome shotgun sequence.
UAAUUUGUUUGGAACAUAUUUUUAUCUAUGGUAGAUUCAUACCUAACUUCUCAGAAUUACUCGUGAAACCUAGUGAACAAUAAAUUUAUAAGAUUUUAAUUUAAGU